rnacentral:rRNA from 16 species
AAAAGCCGGUCUCAGUUCGGAUUGAGGUCUGCAACUCGACCUCAUGAAGUCGGAGUCGCUAGUAAUCGCAGAUCAGCAACGCUGCGGUGAAUACGUUCCCGGGGCUUGUACACACCGCCCGUCAAGUCAUGAAAGUUGGUAACACCCGAAGCCGGUGGCCUAACCGUUGUGGGGGAGCCGUCGAAGGUGGGAUUGGUGAU